rnacentral:rRNA from 1 species
GACGAACGCUGGCGGCGUGCUUAACACAUGCAAGUCGAACGGAAAGGCCCUGCUUUUGUGGGGUGCUCGAGUGGCGAACGGGUGAGUAACACGUGAGUAACCUGCCCUUGACUUUGGGAUAACUUCAGGAAACUGGGGCUAAUACCGGAUAGGAGCUCCUGCUGCAUGGUGGGGGUUGGAAAGUUUCGGCGGUUGGGGAUGGACUCGCGGCUUAUCAGCUUGUUGGUGGGGUAGUGGCUUACCAAGGCUUUGACGGGUAGCCGGCCUGAGAGGGUGACCGGCCACAUUGGGACUGAGAUACGGCCCAGACUCCUACGGUAGGCAGCAGUGGGGAAUAUUGCACAAUGGGCGGAAGCCUGAUGCAGCAACGCCGCGUUCGGGAUGACGGCCUUCGGGUUGUAAACCGCUUUCGCCUGUGACGAAGCGUGAGUGACGGUAAUGGGUAAAGAAGCACCGGCUAACUACGUG